rnacentral:lncRNA from 1 species
UGGGUGUGAAGGCAGUGAGCAAGUAAAACGGAAUGUUCCAGUUUGAUUGUUUAUCAGGUCGACUUUUGGUAGUUUACUAGUUUUUCAUUUGUUUAUCAGUAAUAGUGUUACUCCUUUGUUGUCAAAGUGAUAUAUCUCUUAUCAUGGAUUUACUGGUAAAUAGAGCAUUUAUCUACACAACCAAAAGAUGGGUGCUCAUGUUGUCAAAGUGAUAUAUCUCUUACUAAGACCUUGUGGUUUCAGUGAUAGAGAGCAUUUAUCUACACAGCCAAAAUCG